AAAAUAUUUUAUAUAAAAUAAACGGAGACUUACAUUUGAGAGCAUAAUAAAAUAUGAGAUAUUAUUAGAUGCACCUGAUGCGUAUGCAUCAUUUCUCACAUUCAGGUGAAAAUUAUUCUCUAUGUUAUAGGAAUAAUUCAUCUUUUUAUGAGAAAGAAAACACUAUUUUUUAAUGCUUCCUAUACAUCUAAUAAUUAGUCAUAAAAUAUAAACAAAUUUUAUU
rnacentral:misc_RNA from 1 species